rnacentral:rRNA from 1 species
GAUGAACGCUGGCGGCGUGCCUAAUACAUGCAAGUCGAGCGAACAGACGAGGAGCUUGCUCCUCUGACGUUAGCGGCGGACGGGUGAGUAACACGUGGAUAACCUACCUAUAAGACUGGGAUAACUUCGGGAAACCGGAGCUAAUACCGGAUAAUAUAUUGAACCGCAUGGUUCAAUAGUGAAAGACGGUUUUGCUGUCACUUAUAGAUGGAUCCGCGCCGCAUUAGCUAGUUGGUAAGGUAACGGCUUACCAAGGCAACGAUGCGUAGCCGACCUGAGAGGGUGAUCGGCCACACUGGAACUGAGACACGGUCCAGACUCCUACGGGAGGCAGCAGUAGGGAAUCUUCCGCAAUGGGCGAAAGCUUGACGGAGCAACGCCGCGUGAGUGAUGAAGGUCUUCGGAUCGUAAAACUCUGUUAUUAGGGAAGAACAAAUGUGUAAGUAACUAUGCACGUCUUGGCGGUACCUAAUCAGAAAGCCACGGCUAACUACGUG